rnacentral:rRNA from 1 species
UACGUAGGGGGCCAGCGUUGUCCGGAUUCAUUGGGCGUAAAGCGCGUGUAGGCGGUCCGGUAAGUCCGCUGUGAAAGUCGGGGGCUUAACCCUCGGAUGCCGGUGGAUACUGUCGGGCUUGAGUACGGAAGAGGCGAGUGGAAUUCCUGGUGUAGCGGUGAAAUGCGCAGAUAUCAGGAGGAACACCAAUUGCGAAGGCAGCUCGCUGGGACGUUACUGACGCUGAGACGCGAAAGCGUGGGGAGCAAACAGG